UACGUAGGGGGCAAGCGUUGUCCGGAUUCAUUGGGCGUAAAGAGCGUGUAGGCGGCCAGGUAGGUCGGUUGUGAAAACUGGAGGCUCAACCUUCAGAGGUCGACCGAAACCAUCUGGCUAGAGUCCGGGAGAGGAGAGUGGAAUUCCUGGUGUAGCGGCGAAAUGCGCAGAUAUCAGGAAGAACACCCGUGGCGAAAGCGGCUCUCUGGAACGGUACUGACGCUGAGACGCGAAAGCGUAGGGAGCGAACAGG
rnacentral:rRNA from 1 species